AGUGAACGCUGGCGGUAGGCCUAACACAUGCAAGUCGAACGGCAGCACAGUAAGAGCUUGCUCUUACGGGUGGCGAGUGGCGGACGGGUGAGGAAUACAUCGGAAUCUACUUUUUCGUGGGGGAUAACGUAGGGAAACUUACGCUAAUACCGCAUACGACCUACGGGUGAAAGCAGGGGAUCUUCGGACCUUGCGCGAUUGAAUGAGCCGAUGUCGGAUUAGCUAGUUGGCGGGGUAAAGGCCCACCAAGGCGACGAUCCGUGGCUGGUCUGAGAGGAUGAUCCGCCACACUGGAACUGAGACACGGUCCAGACUCCUACGGGAGGCAGCAGUGGGGAAUAUUGGACAAUGGGCGCAAGCCUGAUCCAGCCAUACCGCGUGGGUGAAGAAGGCCUUCUGGUUGUAAAGCCCUUUUGUUGGGAAAGAAAAGCAGCAGGUUAAUACCCCGCUGUUCUGACGGUACCCAAAGAAUAAGCACCGGCUAACUUCGUG
rnacentral:rRNA from 1 species